GCCAAAAUAGCUCAGGUGAGAGUGCAUUAGACUCAAGCUCUAGAGGUCCCUGGUUCAAUUCUGGGUUUUGGCA